UCCCCUAUCUCUCUUUACGUGAUGAGUUAUUGUUUUUCAGGAAACUUUUUGACUUGCCAAGACUCUCUCUCCUCACUUUUCUUCAAACCUUCAAAAGACUCUCCAUCAUCUUCUUCCUAUUUUCAUGCUUCACCACACAAAAGAUCUUAAGAUCUGAGCAUCGUUCGUGUUCGAGCGUAGAUCGGAGAUCCAAAGCCCCACUUCACUGCACCCAUAGCAGGUCAGUAGUGUCUCUUCCUAUUCUUUUCAGUUCUGAAGAUAUUUAGUCAUAUUCAUGCUAUGAAUUAUGCUAGGCUAAUGUUAAAUAUCAUGAAAUAUAAAUUUUCAGCAAGCUUCUAGUUGAUUGUCGUUAUUCAUGAUUUGUAGCUUGUAUAUUAGGAUUAUGCCUAUAGGACUCAUUCAAUUUACUCGUUCACAUGUUACCAGAUUUGAAAUAUUUAGAAUAAAUUAGUAGAAGCUUUAAUGUGUGUUUCGUUGGACUAAAUAACUUGUUGUUUGAGAUUUAAGAAAUUUUAGCCUUUUAGCUUAUAUCACUAGCUCAAUAUGUGCUUACAAAUUCUAUGUAUCAUGAGCUCCAUAGCCUUUACAAAUCUCAUGAUUAAUGUUCAUCUCUAUACAUUUAGUGAAUAGUUUAAGUGUUGUUGAAAACCAGCGGCCUUUUAAGUUUACAACUUCUUCCUUUUUCAUGUUAAAAGAUGACUUUUAUAUUUAAAGGGGUCAAGUCUUUGAGGUUUCAAAUAAGAAAUCAUCACUGUUGCGAUAUGGUGCAUCUAUUCAUGUUUAUCAUUUCUUUUUCUGAAAAGAAUGAGAUGUUUGAUAGCAUGUUGUUGAGUUCUGUUCUUUCUUUUACAUGUAUAUAAAAUUUAGUAGUAUGUUUACUGUUCUGUGGGAAAAAUGAACGACCAUUUGAUCUUAAAAGUGAUUUCCAAAACGGUAUAGAGUAUGUUUCUUUGUUUAUCCACAUGUUGUAUUUAGUGUGAAACUGGACUAAUUGUUCACGUCUUUAUGUCCUUAAUCGUGUAUAUAUUUUCAGUGUUUUCCUCUAACUUACAUGUUGCUGUGAAUUGAAUGAUAAUGUUGCUUACUUUGUUUUACUCAUUUUUUUCAUAAAAAAGAAUCAUAUCGUUGUUCUAAUCUUUCGUUACUUUUUGCUUGUUGCAUGAUAUCCGGAGUUGCAAGGAGUCUCAAAUGAGACUCGAUGGCGCCGCUAGAUCAAAACAGCAUCUCUCCUUCACUUUGUGUCCUUAGUUCCCUUGAAACCCACCCGAAUAGAAAUAAUGAGGGUCGAGAUGAAAUCUUGAACUCAUGUCGGAUUCUUAUUCGAUUCUCUCCCUCUCCUGAAAGCAAUCCGAGUAGAAGCAAGAGGAAGAGGGGGGAGGACGAGAAUGGCUGCUGCAUUUUUUUAACAUAUCUAUGCUUACUUAGUUAUUUGUAUUCUUGUGUGUGAUUGUUUAUUUGAUAUGUUUUAGUUUAGUGGCCUUGAACAUCUAACUUUAGAGGGGUAGUUGGGAUAUAAUUUUAGUGAAAUCUUGAGGAGUAAUUAUAUUUUUCCAAAACAUUAAUUGAGCUCAUUUUGAGGCUACAGCAAAGUUAUUUUUCAAAGUACGUAAAACCAGAUUUUGUUUAAAAACGUCCUUUGAAAUCUAUGCAAUUUUCGCUCCUUGAUUCA